GAGAGAGAGAGAGAGAGAGAGAGAGAGAGAGAACUUCGUGAAUACCAACCACGAUUCUGGUGCUCUACGACCUGCGACUCAAGUAUCACGAACACCCAACAAAACUUCAAGAACCAGAUUUGAUCGAGGGAGAAAAUGACCCACAACUCACACAAAGACUGAAGAGGAAUACAAUUUCUAGGGUUCUGGUGGUGGUUUUGAUACCAUGUAAGAUUUUUGAAUGAUUUAUGUAUAUUCAAUUGUAAAAGUAAUACAAGGACACAUCUGAUUAUAUAGAAAUCCUAACCCUAAGACUAAAAAAGAAAGAGAAUAUUUACAAUCUCUUAACAUAUAUACAAAAUCUAUACUACCAUAUAUAGCGAUACGCUAAUAUUCUCACAAGAACAUCAGCCACCAAACUUUUCUUUUCACUUUGUUUCUCACCUGCAUUUUUUCAUCAUGUCUUGCAAAAGAUAAUGAUAAAUAUGAAGAAAAAAGAAGAUAUUGAAUCAAUAUACAAACCAAAUGGGACCAAGAAAUAAAGAUCUUUGGAAUGGAAUUGCCAAAAUGCAUUAUAAUGCACACAAUUAGGAUUAAAAAUCCUAACAGACCCUUUUCUAUGUAUGCUGAAUUUACCAUGCACAUGAAGCCAUUAUUGGGGCAAUUGCAAAAGGUUGGCAGACAAGUUUGAGAACAUCUGUUCAGCUUUGAAGGCUGCAUCUCUGUGCAAAUGAUGGCAGAAAUUAGAGUUUUACCUAGUUUAGUCCUUCCUACUUCUCAAUUGUCAAGAUGCAUGCUUGCCUGACAUAAAUCACUAAUGAGUUUUGGUAUUCCUUUAUCAUUUUGCAUUGUACUUUGACAGUUUGCAACUAACCUGCAUUGCAGAUAAUAAUGCUUAUCUUGCUUUUAUUUAUCAAAUAAAAAUAAUAAUAAUGCUUAUCUUGAUUUCAUGUUUUUUCGUGGCCUUUUUAUUGAAACUGGUAUGGAAUUAUAUAUUUAUUCCAGCUACAAUGUUUUGUGGGAAAAAGCAGUCCUCAUAAGGUACAAAUUAUUUCCAGUUCCCAUAUAGUGCUAAUCAGUCUAUUUUAUUUACUGUGUACUAUUUAGUAUUAUUUUUCACUUUGAUUAUUUUGAUUAUUAUUCAUUGUCACACCCAUAAAACUAUUUAACAGUUGGUACUUGACCAAGAAUUAUGAUCGUGCAAUCUUCUUAUAAGAGGAAAGUAAGAAACACUAUGUGUAAUCAUGUCUUUAGUUUUAUUUCUUUCUGUGAAAUCCAAGUUAUGCUACCCAUCCAAAUUGGUACUUUACAACAUGAUGAUAUGUAAGGUAUGUGUUCCUUCUUUGAUGACACUGCCACAUUCAUUCUUGCACUGUUUGGCUUCAAUACCAUGGGUAGGUUCAUGUUUUUUUAUAUCGAUUAACAUCCUUAUUUGAUUUUCAAUUCUGGAUCACAGGUGAAAGUCAUUUUCUUCUCAGAAACAAGGGAGUGUGCGGCUCCAUUUGUGCGUCAAGCUAAUUUAUUGGCCUUAUGCUGCUUUGGCAUUUGUGCCAUGGUGAGAAGAGGAAUCUUCCUUUUGGUGGAAUGUAGAGCAAAAACUCCAGCACUAGUUCCUGAAGAUGCAGAUCCUAUUUGGUCAGUAGGUUCCAAAACCAUUCUAUCUGAAAGGAUAGGAAUGCAACAGAGAAUUGGCAGCAUCAGGAAUGGAAUCCACAAUCGCCUAGUAGAUCCAAGGAUUCACCCAGUCUUGCUCUUGGGGGCAUUGAUGUCUUUUGGUAGCAUCUGGCUGUGAAGGAGCCAAUCAACUCAUCCAAGUCGAUCAAAUAAUCAAACUCAACCAAGCAAAAAAGAUGACGAAGAUAGACCAAAUCGGAGAUGCAAGAAGAGAGCGGUGUCAAAUCAAGAUCGUCCUCCUUCCAUCACAGACAGAGAACCAAAAGAUGCUUACCAGAUGCCACUGUCAGAUUUUGACUACGAGUAAUAUGGUGUUCAAAGGAAUCAAGGUUUGACAUUAAGCAAAUUAAGCACAUGGGGUUCUCGAAGUAAAGAUCAAAGUUUUAUCUCUAUUGUGAUUAUACUGAUUUUUGGUCAUAGGUGUAUCAAGUAACUAGCAAAUGGUUGCCCAACAUAUAUACAUAGAUCAUUUAGAAAUUAUACCACGAAUUUUGGGAACCUGUUUGAAUUGAUAGUUUGUUUUAGUCUCAAUGUGUGAUUGAAUCAUAACUUUGGGAUAAUUUUUGAUUUACUUGUUACCUUCAAGAGCUGCAUUACCUUUCUUAUCUGGAAAAGGAAGCACAUAUGUGCUUGUAUCACUAAGUUGUAAAAUUUUAGUGCAAAAUUCUCAUGAAGUUGAUUGAGGAGA